rnacentral:lncRNA from 1 species
CUGGCCAAGAAAGGCUGAUUUUCUUCCAAAGCAGUCAAAAAAGUCAAAUGAGGUUAAAAUAACAGGAAGAGAAGAAGGUAGAGAUGUGGGUGAUGUCAGUGAUGGAGAACAUCUGACAGAUGGCCUUUUAAUGAAUACUCUUAUGAUUUAAAAUGUCUUCUUAAACUAAGGCUUGUGGUAAUUCUUUGAGUUCCAAUGUAAUUGUCAUGCAUUCACUAAGGAGAUUCUUUUAAAAAGCUGUCAAUUUGGUUGAGGAAGAUUAGAAAAGCAGAAGCAAGAACAUUUUUAGACAUUUUUAAAGAACUCAUUUAGCUGCUUCCUCAUUAAUCAGUCUGUUUUCUGAGAGCAAACUGCUGUAUAAUUACCAGGGGGAAAUUGCUCUUAAAGAGAAGCUGCAAAAUGUCUAUAGGAAAACGUGAUUUUCUCACUGGUAUCCAGAAAGACUUAACCUGCUUAACACAGAUGAAAAAUUUUUAUUAAUAAAGUGAUUUUCCAUCAUCUGGUCAUUUAGGGAGUUUCCUAUUUUAGAGCUGCUUAUUUAUAGGGAAUAUUGAUGGAGAAAGAGGAAAAAUGAUCAGGCUAAUAGGCAUUACAUCUGAAGUCCUGAGACUCCUUCUGAUUAUAUAAACCCUUCUCCCAUUGUGAGCACGGCACUCAAUGUCCCAGGUAGUCCUCAUAGUAUGUUUCGAGAUAAAAUCUCCCAUAUGAUAAAUGCCAAGUUUUAUUUAACAAGCCAGCAAGUCAGCAUCUGGAAGCAAGUCUACAGGCAGAUCUUUAACUUCCAGGAAUUCUGUUGGGGAUUUAAUGUUUCUAUAGCAACACUUGUUGUAGCAUAAACUAAAUUUGAAGAAUGUUGAGGGUUUGCCUCUGUGAUGUAUUUCUUUUAUCUAUGAACAUAAAUUACAGAGGGUCUCAAGAUUACAUAUAUACAUCUAAUCUAUAUUGUUAUAAAUAUACAUAAUUGUUUUUGCUAACAUUUUUUCUUUUCUGAAAACUCAUGUAGCAGCAGAAAUGCAAGUCUUUCAAAUGCUUUUGGGAAGACUGUGUAAAGAAAUGGCUGUCCCUUGUUCAAAGACAUCAAACAUUUCUAUGCAAGAUGUCUUAUUUCGCCAGUAGUAAUAUGCUCCCAUCAUAGGAAAAUUGGCUGUCUACAUUUAAAAGAAAAAUGAAGACAUCAUUAAAACUAUCAGGAAGUCUGGAAACAAUAUAGCAAUUUUUAACCUAAUGGUGCUAAGAGAGUGACAUGAAUGUUCUUGAUCAUCCAGUCUUUGAUGGUGGAUGCAGGUCUUUUUAGUCCAUUUUAAUGGUCAAGAUUGGUUAGCUUCAAAAGAAAAAGAUUUGAGAUUUGCAAAAAAAAAUUGUUCACCAAUGACAUGUUUUUGAGACCCCUUUUUAUUGUAACCUUGACUAUUAAGUUGCCUGUGGCUUCAUUUUUAUAGAAAAUGAGUUUCAGCAGGUGGAACUGAAAAUUACUGUUAGGAAAGAAUGAUUUCCAAUGAGCAGCAAAACAUUGAACCUUUGCCUUGUGGAUUCUCAUUUAUUAAGUCAAAGAGAAAAGGAGUAUAAGAUAUAAAGUUUCAUGUGCAGACCUUCCCUCCUUAUGAAUUCUGUGUUGAAAUGAAUAACUGUAAAACCCCAGGGAUUUGGCCAACCUCUUCUCCUGUCUCCUGCCAACUUUGACCUGGUUUUCUACAAGACUUAAGAGGUACAGAGACUGCACAGAAUCUCCCAGAAGACCUUAGUCAAUGCAGAAUUAAAUGGAAAAAUUCCACUUUUGUCAAAGGUGAAAAAUCUGGCUUUCCUUACAUGCAGAACCUCUAGAGACAUCAACAUGGUCUGUAUGAGCAACCUCAGCAAAAAAAAAAAAAAAGCCUCAUCU